rnacentral:rRNA from 1 species
AUUGAACGCUGGCGGCAUGCCUUACACAUGCAAGUCGAACGGCAGCACGGGAGCUUGCUCCUGGUGGCGAGUGGCGAACGGGUGAGUAAUACAUCGGAACGUACCCUGAAGUGGGGGAUAACGUAGCGAAAGUUACGCUAAUACCGCAUAUUCUGUGAGCAGGAAAGAGGGGGAUCGCAAGACCUCUUGCUUUAGGAGCGGCCGAUGUCGGAUUAGCUAGUUGGUGAGGUAAAGGACUUCACCAAGGCGACGAUCCGUAGCGGGUCUGAGAGGAUGAUCCGCCACGCUGGGACUGAGACACGGCCCAGACUCCUACGGGAGGCAGCAGUGGGGAAUUUUGGACAAUGGGCGCAAGCCUGAUCCAGCCAUGCCGCGUGAGUGAAGAAGGCCUUCGGUGUAAG